GAUGAACGCUAGCGACAGGCCUAACACAUGCAAGUCGAGGGGCAGCACGUCUUCGGAUGGUGGCGACCGGCGCACGGGUGAGUAACGCGUAUGUAACCUGCCUACAACAGGGGGAUAGCUCGCUGAAAAGCGAAUUAAGACCGCAUAAGACCACACUAUCGCAUGGUAGAGUAGUAAAAUAUUUAUAGGUUGUAGAUGGGCAUGCGUGACAUUAGCUAGUUGGUAAGGUAACGGCUUACCAAGGCAACGAUGUCUAGGGGUUCUGAGAGGAAGGUCCCCCACACUGGUACUGAGACACGGACCAGACUCCUACGGGAGGCUG
rnacentral:rRNA from 1 species